rnacentral:tRNA from 1 species
GGGGUUGUGGCUCAGUGGUAGAGUGCUCACCUAGAAUGCGUGAGGCACUAGGUUCAAUCCUCAGCACCA